rnacentral:sRNA from 1 species
UGUUAUUCUAAAUAAGAAUUAUUUUUGUUCGGUCUGUAAGGAAAGAUAAGUAUUUAAACUUUUCGCCUUUGAUAUCUAAUUGAGCAAGGAUAGUAAUAAACAGUGGAUCUAUUCCACACAGGAGGCAACAAACAUGCAACAAGGUACAGUAAAAUGGUUUAACGCAGAAAAAGGUUUUGGAUUCAUCGAAGUUGAAGGCGGCAGCGAUGUAUUCGUUCAUUUCUCAGCUAUCCAAGGCGAAGGAUUUAAAUCUUUAGACGAAGGUCAAAAAGUGACUUUUGAUGUAGAACAAGGUCAACGUGGACCUCAAGCAACUAACGUACACAAAGCAUAAUUAAUGAAGAAAAGGACUCUAAUUCAUUUUAGAGUCCUUUUU